UUUGCCUUGUUACACUUCUGCGCUUAUUUAACACGGAGUAGGAUAUAUACUAUGAGAAAUAGUGUUACAAACAAGUUACAUACUUGGUAAAACUUUUCUGCCUUUUGUUUUGGCUCAAAAUGCACUACGCGUGGUAAUACACGGUAUUGUUUAUAGUCAUGAGAUUGUGAGUUACCCAGCCAAUGACGUCAGAUAAUGUAUUUUGUGGCAUAA